rnacentral:rRNA from 1 species
GUCGUGAGAUGUUGGGUUAAGUCCCGCAACGAGCGCAACCCUUGACCUGUGUUACCAGCACGUGAAGGUGGGGACUCACAGGUGACUGCCGGCGUAAGUCGGAGGAAGGCGGGGAUGACGUCAAAUCAUCAUGCCCUUUAUGUCCUGGGCUACACACGUGCUACAAUGGGCGGUACAACGGGAAGCGAGACCGCGAGGUGGAGCAAAACCCUGAAAGCCGUUCGUAGUUCGGAUUGCAGGCUGCAACUCGCCUGCAUGAAGCCGGAAUUGCUAGUAAUCGCGGAUCAGCAUGCCGCGGUGAAUCCGUUCCCGGGCCUUGU